UACGAAGGGAGCUAGCGUUGCUCGGAAUGACUGGGCGUAAAGGGCGCGUAGGCGGAUGUUUUAGUCAGGCGUGAAAGUCCUGGGCUCAACCUGGGGAUUGCGUUUGAUACGGGGUAUCUAGAGUUGGGAAGAGGGUCGUGGAAUUCCCAGUGUAGAGGUGAAAUUCGUAGAUAUUGGGAAGAACACCGGUGGCGAAGGCGGCGACCUGGUCCUUGACUGACGCUGAGGCGCGAAAGCGUGGGGAGCAAACAG
rnacentral:rRNA from 1 species